rnacentral:rRNA from 1 species
AGAGUUUGAUCCUGGCUCAGAUUGAACGCUGGCGGCAUGCCUAACACAUGCAAGUCGAACGGCAGCGCGGGGGCAACCCUGGCGGCGAGUGGCGGACGGGUGAGGAAUGCAUCGGAAUCUACCCUUGGGUGGGGGAUAACCAGUCGAAAGGCUGGCUAAUACCGCAUGAGACCGAGAGGAGAAAGCGGGGGACCGAAAGGCCUCGCGCCGAAGGAUGAGCCGAUGUCGGAUUAGCUAGUUGGCGGGGUAAAGGCCCACCAAGGCGACGAUCCGUAGCUGGUCUGAGAGGAUGAUCAGCCACACUGGGACUGAGACACGGCCCAGACUCCUACGGGAGGCAGCAGUGGGGAAUAUUGGACAAUGGGCGCAAGCCUGAUCCAGCAAUGCCGCGUGUGUGAAGAAGGCCUUCGGGUUGUAAAGCACUUUUAUCGGGAGCGAAAAGCGGCCAGCGAAUACCUGGUCGUGCUGACGGUACCCGAGGAAUAAGCACCGGCUAACUU